CUACGGGGGGCAGCAGUGGGGAAUAUUGGACAAUGGGCGAAAGCCUGAUCCAGCCAUGCCGCGUGUGUGAAGAAGGCCUUCGGGUUGUAAAGCACUUUCAGUGGGGAAGAAAGCCUUGGGGCUAAUACCCUCGAGGAAGGACAUCACCCACAGAAGAAGCACCGGCUAACUCCGUGCCAGCAGCCGCGGUAAUACGGAGGGUGCGAGCGUUAAUCGGAAUUACUGGGCGUAAAGCGCGCGUAGGCGGUCUGAUAAGCCGGUUGUGAAAGCCCCGGGCUCAACCUGGGAACGGCAUCCGGAACUGUCAGGCUAGAGUGCAGGAGAGGAAGGUAGAAUUCCCGGUGUAGCAGUGAAAUGCGUAGAGAUCGGGAGGAAUACCAGUGGCGAAGGCGGCCUUCUGGACUGACACUGACGCUGAGGUGCGAAAGCGUGGGUAGCAAACAGGAUUAGAUACCCCAGUAGUC
rnacentral:rRNA from 1 species